GUUUUUCAUUUUCAUUUAUUUUGAUCCUCCAUAAAAAGAUUAAUUCGCCGCUUCCGUUAGUGUAAGGGUGGGGUGGAAAUCCCCCUCCUUCCCUUUCAGAGGUAUUUUGCUUCUUGGGGAUCUUUUCCAGGAAAUUAAAUGUAGAAUAGAAAAGAGAAGAUCGAAUUACUCACCCAGUUUCAAACACGCUGUUCAUAGUUGUGCUGGUUAGUGCUUUUGGACUUCGGUUGCUAGUAGCUUGGGCUGGAUGAUGCAAUACAGCCAGCCUUUCUCCUGUUGGGUUAGAAAGCUUUCCCCAAGUCGAACAGAAUGGCCGCCACUGUUCCAGAGCUGCUGGAGCACCCUUCUUUCUUGGUCGCCUCUUUGGGGUGACGUAGACCCAUUUAGGGUCCCCAGGCAGGGCGAAAUUAGCCGCGGGGGCGCAGAGAAUCUGCAAGCCCGCGACUGGUCACUACCGUGCAAAACUAGAAGUCAUUCAUUUAUCUUCAAGGAAUGAAUAGUGAUUGAAAAUACAUUCUGGAUUUGCAAUGUAAUGCAACAAUGUAGGUUACAUCCAACACGGGGACUUCACUAAAUCUCCAACUUGGGUACUUGCCAUGCCCAUUUGCCAGUAUUACUGGAGGUUUUUAAGAUUCAUAUUCUGUAUCUGGGCUGCCACUUCCAAUAAACUGCCCUUCUGGUUUCUGUAUCAUCUGCAGGCCACUUUAGCUGACUGUGUUCAGCAGGUCAGCGGUUCAAAUCUCACCGGCUCAAGGUUGACUCAGCCUUCCAUCCUUCCGAGGAGAAGAGCAAGCUGAGAAGGUGGGGUUAGAUGUGUCAUCAGUUUGGAGUCAUUGCGUUGCCACAAAGAGAACUAAGUCCAGCCACCCGUGAAUUCUGUUGACACUUACCUAGUGCCAAUUUAACUUUGACUAUUAGUUGCCUAGAUUCUUGUAUUAGUGGUAGCAAUAAUAAAAGCUAUGCUUUGAACUGAA